ensembl:snRNA U6 U6 spliceosomal RNA
GUUCUAUUUACUUCACCAGCACAUAUCCUAAAAUUGAAAUAAUUCAGAGAUUAACAUGGCCCCUAUGCAAGGAAGACACAAAUUUGAUGGGGGAUGUCAUUCUGUAU